rnacentral:tRNA from 1 species
GGAUGGAUGUUUGAGCGGUUGAAAGAGUCGGUCUUGAAAACUGAAGUAUUGAUAGGAAUACGUUCGAAUCCCUCUCCAUCCG